AUGCAUCUGACAGACGUGGAGCAGUUAAUGUCUGCUGCUAAGGUUUCUACUAUAGCUUCAAGAAAAAGAAGGUCCUCAUGCUUUCUGUCUGUCUGGUUGUGGCAGCCAAGAUUGAAUGGGGGAAUACAGUA
rnacentral:snoRNA from 1 species